rfam:Danio rerio chromosome 5, GRCz11 reference primary assembly.
AAAAAGGCUCUUUUCAGAGCCGCCCAAACCUUCAACCGAAAGAGC